UUAAGUUCAGCGGGUAUUCCUACCUGAUCCGAGGUCAAAACUUUCAGAAGUUGGGGUUUAACGGCGUGGCCGAGCCGCGCUCCGGUGCGAGGUUUCAUAAGCUACUACGCAGAGGAGGCUGCGGCAGGACCGCCACUGAUUUUAGGGGGCGGCGACCCGCGACGAGGCGGGGCCGGUCCCCAACACCAGGCCCCCUGGGG
rnacentral:misc_RNA from 1 species